rnacentral:rRNA from 1 species
CCGCGGUAAUACGGAGGGAGCUAGCGUUGUUCGGAAAUACUGGGCGUAAAGCGCACGUAGGCGGAUCGUUAAGUCGGGGGUGAAAUCCCGGGGCUCAACCCCGGAACUGCCUUCGAUACUGGCGAUCUUGAGUCCGGAAGAGGUGAGUGGAACUCCUAGUGUAGAGGUGGAAUUCGUAGAUAUUAGGAAGAACACCAGUGGCGAAGGCGGCUCACUGGUCCGGUACUGACGCUGAGGUGCGAAAGCGUGGGGAGCAAACAGG